rnacentral:rRNA from 1 species
CGUAGGUGGCAAGCGUUGUCCGGAUUUAUUGGGUUUAAAGGGUGCGUAGGCGGUGAUUUAAGUCAGUGGUGAAAUACUUCAGCUUAACUGGAGAGGUGACAUUGAUACUGGGUCACUUGAGUACUGAUGAGGUAGGCGGAAUGGACGGUGUAGCGGUGAAAUGCUUAGAUAUCGUCCAGAACACCGAUAGCGAAGGCAGCUUACUAAGGAGUAACUGACGCUGAGGCACGAAAGUGUGGGGAUCAAACAGGAUUAGAUACCCUGGUAGUCCACACAGUAAACGAUGAUCACUCGAUGUUGGCGAUACACAGCCAGCGUCUUAGCAAAAGCGAUAAGUGAUCCACCUGGGGAGUACGCCGGCAACGGUG